rnacentral:rRNA from 1 species
UACGGGGGGGCGAGGCGUUGUUCGGAAUCACUGGGCGUAAAGGGCGCGUGAGGCGGCCCGCACAAGAUCUGCGGUGAAAACCCCCCGGCUUAAACCGGGGGCCGGCCGUGGAAACUGUCGGGCUAGAGGCCGGGAGAGGGCAGCGGAAUUCCCGGUGUAGCGGUGAAAUGCGUAGAGAUCGGGAGGAACACCGGCGGCGAAGGCGGCUGCCUGGACCGGCCCUGACGCUGAGGCGCGAAAGCUAGGGGAGCAAACAGG